rnacentral:lncRNA from 1 species
CAAGAAUUGCAAAUAGGGAGCGCCAAAUUCCAGUUGAGUUUUCUGAUAUGAGGAACAGAGUUUGCAAACUCGAGUAGAGCCUGUCUAUCGGAAUCAAGAUCGGCUACAACAUGAGGAAAAAUUGAUAGCAAGGGAAUAAGAAAAGCAACAGCAGCCAGUAAAGACUGGAGCUUCAUUAAGUUUUUAAGCUACAACAUGAUGAAAAAUCGAUAGCAAGGGAAUAAGAAAAGCAACAGCAGCCAGUAAAGACUGGAGCUUCAUUAUGUUUUUACGGAUCUGGCUGGCAAACAUGCUAAAGCAAGAUUCAAGUUGCCGCAACCCGUCACUUCUUGACUUUACAAAUUAGCUGGUUCCUGUUAGAGGAAGCAAGAUUAAUCAGUUUGCUACAACAACUUGAAGAAACAUUAACAUAUUCAGUGCAAGAAAACUAUAUAAUGAAGAAUCAGUAUCAGCUAAACAAGUACAAAGAAUGAGAAUGCCAGAGUAGGAAUUACUAUGAAAGAAAGAACAAAACCAAGAUUAUAGUGGCUUUUAGUUCUAAACAUAAGGCACCUAUAUAUGAUAUGAAUGAAAGGGAAACUUCAGUUGGUUUACAUCUUCAUAUUGAAAAUGGAUCAAUCAAGGAGGCAAGAAUCAUGACAAAUACUGAUUGAACUACUCACUGAAGACAGAUUUUGAAAGAGGGUGGGAAGAGAAGAUUUAUUGCAUACUUUGGCAAUAAAGUCAUUCUUUUUCUAUUGUUAGCCCACUAAAAAGUAAUAUGCCUAUAAGCUGUUCAUUAUAAAGUAAGAGCAGAAAACAUGAAAGUCUUUCUCUAAACAUGGACUAUCAGAAUUUCUUAUAGAAUGAAUUCACUCUAGAUUUUACUCUUUAUCCAGUAUUUUAUGUGUAUAAUUGCAUUGCCUUUAGUAAUGGACUCGGAAUAGUUCCCGCUUAUAAAAGAUUAACAGAAUCAGAAGAUUUAGGAACAUAAAGAUAAUAUAUUACAAGAUAAUAAGGAGUUGAUAGUGUACAUAUAAAACAAAUGUAGUAUCAAGUCAAAAGUUGAAGCUUCGUUA